rnacentral:rRNA from 1 species
CAGUCGCCGCGGGAAUACGUAGGUGGCAAGCGUUGACCGGAAUUAUUGGGCGUAAAGGGCUCGCAGGCGGUUUCUUAAGUCUGAUGUGAAAGCCCCCGGCUCAACCGGGGAGGGUCAUUGGAAACUGGGAAACUUGAGUGCAGAAGAGGAGAGUGGAAUUCCACGUGUAGCGGUGAAAUGCGUAGAGAUGUGGAGGAACACCAGUGGCGAAGGCGACUCUCUGGUCUGUAACUGACGCUGAGGAGCGAAAGCGUGGGGAGCAAACAGGAUUAGAUACCCCGGUAGUCCCUGUCUCUUAUAC